rnacentral:lncRNA from 1 species
UACGAAUUUAAAUUUUGUUCCACACCUCUGACUUGGAAUAUCUCAUAGGAAUUCCAUGCAGGAACCUAGAAAACUGGACAUUUUAUGAGGAAUGCCUGUAGUACAUUAUGCUUAGCAGUUAUUCACAGUAUUGUAUAACCAAAGUUAUGCUGGAAAAAGGGGCAAUUACUGGUGCUUCAGAUUGUUACUAUUUUACUUAACUAUGGGGGCUGGUAAGAGUAACCUUAAUUGUGUAUGCAAGCUAAAAAGAGUAAGUAAAGAUUUUCAUCAACUGAAGACAAUAACUGUAUUUUCUAUGCUCUCUGGUCCUCAGAAGUGAGGUUUUACCCUGCUGCUGUAGGAUUCACUUGCAGUUGUCCAUGGUGGCAUUGCAGUGAAAGACAGAGGAAGAGAAAUAGCCCUUUCCCUGGUCCUAACAACCUGCCCUCCUGCAUCCUCAGUGGUUCUGGAAGAUGCUCUUUUUCCUUCUAAGUUAAUCCAGCCUUGAGCUGGAUUAACAAUGGCGUGUUUCUUUGUUGAAGUGCGAGCUUAGAAUGGAUAGCCAUGUGGGUAUUGCCAGCUGGGAGUCCUGCCCUAAGUACCCUCACUUGACACACAUACACGGUCUCUUGGCUGCCUGAGACCCCUGCCCAUCUGUUUGGAUGGCACUGUGCCCAGUUCCCUGCUCACCGGCCAUUUUCUGUAAGGCACUGCUGCCAAAUAGCGGUUGGUUCAGAUGGACAGCUGACAUAGCAUUACUGCUGCUCUUCUGCUAGCAAGUCUUACUUUUCUAGUAAACAGAAGCCUGUGUUAUGGGUUUGUUUGAUCCUGCUCUACUUUCAGUGUUGCAUAAGCAAAAUCUUAAUCUCAUUGAAACCGUGGUAGCCUUUAUCAACAAUAUGAUUGGAAAGCAAUUGAAAUAUGAUUUCUCUGCACUGGAGGAGAGGUGCAGGAGAACAAAUGGGUCUGCCAGCUGGCACCGAGUCCAGCACUUUGCCAUGUAAGUGCAGUGCUUUAUGGGUGACAGAGGAGGCCUGGAUGUGCAGAGCACUUCAGGACAGCUGGAGAAGCAAGGAAGAGCUCGGCCUCACUGUGUGUCAUACAGAAGCCUGA